rnacentral:tRNA from 1 species
UCCCUGGAGGUCCAGUGGUUAGGACUCGGCACUUUCAUUGCUGGGUGGGCCUGGGUUCGAUCCUUGGUCAGGGAA